UCCUUGGUGGUCCACUGGCUAAGACUCUGCACUCCCAAUGUAGGGGCCCAGGUUUGAUCCCUGGUCACGGAA
rnacentral:tRNA from 1 species